rnacentral:rRNA from 1 species
GACGAACGCUGGCGGCGUGCUUAACACAUGCAAGUCGAACGAGAGCGUAGAGAAAGCUUGCUUUUUCUACAAUCUAGUGGCAAACGGGUGAGUAACGCGUAAACAACCUGCCCUACGGAUGGGGACAACAGCUGGAAACGGCUGCUAAUACCGAAUACGUUCCGAAAGUCGCAUGACUGUCGGAAGAAAGGAUGGCCUCUAUUUAUAAGCUAUCGCCGGAGGAGGGGUUUGCGUCUGAUUAGCUAGUUGGAGGGGUAACGGCCCACCAAGGCGACGAUCAGUAGCCGGUCUGAGAGGAUGAACGGCCACAUUGGAACUGAGACACGGUCCAGACUCCUACGGGAGGCAGCAGUGGGGAAUCUUCCGCAAUGGGCGAAAGCCUGACGGAGCAACGCCGCGUGAGUGAAGACGGCCUUCGGGUUGUAAAGCUCUGUUAUACGGGACGAAUAGUCUUAUGGUUAAUACCCAUGAGAAGGGACUU